rfam:Felis catus isolate Cinnamon breed Abyssinian chromosome A2, whole genome shotgun sequence.
GCCCAGGUGGCUCAGUUGGUUAAGCGUCUGACUUCGGCUCAGGUCAUGAUCUCACGGUUUGUGGGUUUGAGCCCCACAUCGAGCU